rnacentral:rRNA from 1 species
CCUACGGGAGGCAGCAGUGGGGAAUAUUGGGCAAUGGGCGCAAGCCUGACCCAGCAACGCCGCGUGAAGGAAGAAGGCUUUCGGGUUGUAAACUUCUUUUCUCAGGGACGAAGAACGUGACGGUACCUGAGGAAUCAGCCACGGCUAACUACGUGCCAGCCGCCGCGGUACUACGUAGGUGGCAGGCGUUAUCCGGAUUUAUUGGGUGUAAAGGGCGUGUAGGCGGGGGAGCAAGUCAGAUGUGAACGAUCAGGGCUCAACCCUGGGCCUGCAUUUGAAACUGUGUUUCUGGAGGGCAGGAGAGGGAAUCGGAAUUCCGUGUGUAGCGGUGAAAUGCGUAGAUAUACGGAGGAACACCAGUGGCGAAGGCGGAUUGCUGGACAGUAACUGACGCUGAGGCGCGAAAGCGUGGGGAGCAAACAGGAUUAGAUACCCUUGUAGUC